rnacentral:rRNA from 1 species
GACGAACGCUGGCGGCGUGCCUAAUACAUGCAAGUCGACCUUAUUGGAGAACGGGUGAGUAACACGUGUGUAACCUGCCCAUCAGAGGGGGAUAACACUUGGAAACAGGUUCUUAUACCGUAUAUUGAUGGAUCUACCCUCGGUGCAUUAGCUAGUGGGUGAGGUAACGGCUCACCAAGGCAAGGAUGCAUAGCGGACCGGAGAGGGUGUUGGGCCACAUUGGGACUGAGAAACGGCCCAAACUCCUACGGGAGGCAGAAGUAGGGAAUCUUCGGCAAGGGACGAAAGUCUGACAGAGCAACGCCGCGUGAGGGAAGAAGGUUUUCGGAUCGUAAAACUCGGUUGUUAGGGAAGCGGUAUCUAACCAGAAAGCCACGGCUAACUACGUGCCAGCAGCCGCGGUAAUAC